rnacentral:lncRNA from 1 species
CGAGGUAAGCCACGGAGGCGCAGGCUCUGGCUCCAGCCUCCAGCAUGCAGCGGUGUCUCUUCCUUCUCCUCGUCUUCCAGCCCGGCAGGAGAAGCUCCCGCUGCUAGCCUCCCUCCUACCGCUCCGUCACCAACACCACCAACAGGGAGGCAGCGCCCUAGGCUCCAGGCUCCAGGCUCCAGCGGGUGAAAACUAAUGGACCCUUCUAGUUCUCUAACCCAGGGUUCGGUGUUUUACUGUUGAGCUGCUCAGUGCCCAGCUUAGAGGACCAGGAAAAGGAGUCACCGGCCAUAUGCUGGAGGCUUGAGACACGGCACAGCGGCGCAGCUCGCCUCGCUAUGGUUGGUGGUGGCAGUGGAGCUUGCGAUUGCCACGCGGCUGGAGGGUCCUUUAGGUUGUUUGAGGGACAUUCAUCAAGGAAACCGGAGAAACUUAAAAUGCUCUUCCGCUUCUUUGGAACAGUCACAGAGAAAAGUGAACUCCUUUCAUUCUUGCAGUAAUUUUUCUUGCUGAUGGGAACAGUUCAAGUCAAGUGACAUAACCUACUGGGUUGGUGACAUUUACAAGACAGAGUCUUGAGGAUUUUCCAGAACGGGAAAGAUUUUGAAAGAACAAAGAGGAACUACAGAAUCAUUGCUUACAUUGACACCGGC